AGGGUGUAAACGCUGCAGACUUGGUGUUGGAGGCCCUUUGGGGGCAUUCAGUGCCGGAGAGAAGUUGUUAAGUCUGCUACUUGGGGAGUACGUCCGCAAGGAUGAAACUUAAAGGAAUUGGCGGGGGAGCACCGCAACGGGAGGAGCGUGCGGUUUAAUUGGAUUCAACACCGUAAAACUCACCAGGGAAGACUGUUACAUGAAGGCCGAGAUGAAGACUCUGCUAGAUUUUUCAGAGAGGAGGUGCAUGACGUCAGUGACU
rnacentral:rRNA from 1 species